ensembl:rRNA 5S_rRNA 5S ribosomal RNA
AUCUACGGCCAUACCACCCUGAAUCACCUGAUUUCAUCUGAUCUUGGAAACUAAGCAGAGUUGGGCCUGCUUAGUAUGUGCAUGAGAAACCAUCUAGGAAACCAGAUGCUAUGGGUU